rnacentral:rRNA from 1 species
GAUGAAUGCUGGCGGCGUGCCUAACACAUGCAAGUCGAGCGGUAACAGGAGUAGUUUACUACUUGCUGACGAGCGGCGGACGGCUGAGUAACGCGUGGGAACGUGCCCCAAAGUGAGGAAUAACUGCCCGAAAGGGUAGCUAAUACCGCAUAUGAUCUUCGGAUUAAAGGAUUUAUCCGCCUUGGGAGCGGCCCGCGUACGAUUAGGUAGUUGGUGAGGUAAUGGCUCACCAAGCCGACGAUCGUUAACUGGUCUGAGAGGAUGAUCAGUCAGACUGGAACUGAGACACGGUCCAGACUCCUACGGGAGGCAGCAGUGAGGAAUCUUCCACAAUGGGCGAAAGCCUGAUGGAGCAGCGCCGCGUGCAGGAUGAAGGCCUUCGGGUUGUAAACUGCUUUUAUAAGUGAAGAAUAUGACGGUAACUUAUGAAUAAGCACCGGCUAACUACGUGCCAGCAGCCGCGGUA